UACGUAGGGUGCAAGCGUUGUCCGGAAUUAUUGGGCGUAAAGAGCUCGUAGGCGGUCUGUCGCGUCGGCUGUGAAAUCCCGAGGCUCAACCUCGGGUCUGCAGUCGAUACGGGCAAACUAGAGUAUUGCAGGGGAGACUGGAAUCCCUGGUGUAGCGGUGAAAUGCGCAGAUAUCAGGAGGAACACCGGUGGCGAAGGCGGGUCUCUGGGCAAUAACUGACGCUGAGGAGCGAAAGCGUGGGGAGCGAACAGG
rnacentral:rRNA from 1 species